GAAUAAAGAAUGAGGGACAGUAAAGUAAGAAGAGCUUGAUAGUUAAAAGACAGAAGGAAAGUAAAGCAGAACACCAGCUACGUUUCGCCCUUCACCCUCAUGCCUCUCCGGCUACGGUGGCCUCUGAGAGGAUUGAACCUCAACCGGCACAGCCACGAGGAGUCAUUAGGAGUUACUUUGUAGCUGGCGCUGACAACUUAGUCAGAAUCUGGUUGUUGCUAGCCCCCGCUUGAAGGAUACCAAGUCGGGGGAUUCAGCGAUGGAGGCUGGUAGGUUGUUCCAGGUUGCAAUUAUACUUGGAAAAAAGCUGUGGCGAUAGUAUGAGGUGUAUGUCGAUAAUGGCAGGAACUUGAUGGAGUGGUUUGCUCGUGUCCGGCUUGUUCAACAAACACAGUUUGGCUUUACGAAAUGAACUGCAUAAAUGGACGGAAAUCAAGGCUAAAGUGGAUGCGCUGGAAAAAUGCCCAGAACACAAGAAUGAUGUUAUAAAAUCAUUAUGCGAGGACCAUCAACAGCUGUUGUGUCAUGAUUGCCUUCAGACUAAACAUCGGCAUUGCGUCAAUGUGGUCACUACUGAUGAAAAGCUGAAAGGCCAACGCACGAAAGGGGAUAUCCAGAAAGCAGCCAGAAAUAUUGACACAUUACAAGCAAAGUUGAGUCAAAGAAUAAAUGCCCUUGAAAAUGACAUUCAGUCAGUUAACAAAACAUACGAGAAAAUACUUAAUGACAUCGGAACAUUACACAAAACGCUCAUUGAAGCUCUACAGCAACUAGAGAUAGACAUCAUUAAAAAACUUGAUGCACUGAUGCACCACCAUAAAGACAUCAAUAGAAAGUGACACAGACCAAUGUACCAAACUUCAUACAAAGAUGAUAUGUUUCCAAGAUAAGAUUAAAAGUCUAGAAUACCAGUCUGAAGCCAUGUAUUUUAUUAUGUAUACUAAAUGUCUAGAAAUUGCGACUGAGGCAGGUACUUUUCUAAAAGAUGUGAAAACACAUGAUAAAGUCAAGAUGUAGUAAACUCCUGAUACAACCAUUACACAGACUUUGACCACGCUGUCAGGUUUAGGAAAUAGGAAAAUUUGAAUGUCUUUCAAAGUUUGCACAUUCACCAAGAAAAGAAGAUAGUGAUGCUGUUGAGAUUGAUAAUGGGACCUUUUAUGAUAUUUUCGACGAGACAGAAACAAUUCUCAAUGUUAAUAGACUUAAAAGUUAUAAAGACUAUGGCGCAAGAUACUAUCAAAUAUCAGCUAUUUGUGAGACAGCAGAAGAAAAUAUAUUAAUUUAAGACAAGCUGGAAGAGAGCGUUAAGUUGCUUGAUCACUCGUACAACGUAGUGUCUCGCUAUGACCUGUAUGCUGAAGUCUUCUCGAUUUGCAGAGUUGACCCCAGACUGGUAGCUGUUGCUGUGGGUGACAAGGAAAUGGAAGAUGAUAUUAGUGAUCAUCCUGAACGUUAUAGUCUUCCUGUUAGGUUCCCGCGACAUGAUCAACAUGAUAUGACCGUUUUUAUUAAAGAAAGCAAUGGUCAACUGAUCUUGGACAGAUUUAAGACACUGUAUGAUCACAAAUGUAGAGGUAUCGCCCAUCGCCAUGGCAACCUUUACAUAGCAUCAGGUAUAGCCCUGUACCAGUACACUAUGGAUGGUAGGCAUUUAUGGAAAUUGUAUGAGGAUAGGUCUCCUCGCUCAGACACAACGUUUAAAUACGUUCCUACCUAAAUGCCAAAUAACAACAUUAAAUCAAAGAACAAAUUAAUACACUGCUAAUAAAUUGUCUUAUUUUCACUCUGUCCAUUGAUUCAUAUAUGUUACUACAGUUCCGUCUUGUGCUGUCAGUGUAGAUAGGAUCUAUAUAACUGAUCAAAUGAAGUAAAGGCUGGUCACUCUGUCUAGGGAUGGAACAUUGAAAUCCACACUGACAGACUGUCAAUUCCGCUUCCGAACUUAGAUGACCUCCAUGUGACAGAAAUGGGGCAGGUUCUAGUAUGUGGAUAUUCUUCAGUCGCCCAGGUGGACAGAGAAGGGAGAAAUAUAUUGGCACAGGUGGUCACACAUAAAAUGAUGAAGGAACUUAUACGGAAACCAACAUAUUUCACACCAACAUACGUCUACUUCGAUAGAAAUACAGACUCACUCGUUGUGGGAAUGACGUCAGGGAUAUAUGCGUUCGCAGAAUAAAUUAUUUUAAUCGAUGUUUCACAACCCAUAGAUUUAAAAAGAGACAAACGAAAUAAAACAUGUAAUCUUCUCCUGUACUUGAGACUCAAUUGGGUACAUUGACAUAAGAACAUCUUUCGAUAUCAAACACCCAUUCGAUUCCAUUCAUUUCUCUAUUUUUCACAUAACUCUAUGAAAAGAAGACUUUACCAAUAAUGUAAAUGUUAACACAUAGCAAACAAGAAAUCUUUUCGUUAUAUGUGUUUAAACCUCACAUAUGUAUGUUUAACUUGCCCAUUUUAUUAAAUCACAUUCACACAAUUUUGUAGUUUAAUAUUACAAAUAAUCACUGGCAUUCAUAAGUUUUUCAAUAGUAUUGAAUUUCUUAUUGUAUCAUAAAGCAGUCACUUUUUUGAAUACCUUUUUUAUUCCGAGAUAAUGUUGUGUAUUAAAAGCUUAUUAUAAGAUUAUUUAUGGUUAAAUAAAACACAAUUUACCUUUGAUAAUUCUUGAAGCAAUAUUUCAUAACACUAGCGAGAUCUCUUAUUUAUUCCUCAGCACUAAAAAACUAUUUUAUUUUAAAUAUUUGUACAAAUAUUAAUUAGUAGUAGAUUCCCGUUUUUGAUAUUUGUUGUUGUGAGUUGUGUUUGAUUGAACGAAGGCUAUUUUUGUACGUACUUAGGAAGUAUAAUUGCAAAACUGAGCACUAAAAUAAGUAUAUUGUCAUUUACAUGUAGCAACUCACUUCUUCAAAUUCAUGUUUUGUUAAACGCUAAUUCAAUGAGAACAAACAACAAAAUAAACUAUAUAAAAUUAUACAACAUAAGAGGAACAAAGGCUCAAAAUAUAACGGAUGGAAAUUAGUGGUUACCCGUGAGCCCGGGUCAAGUAGAUUUUGGCCUGGGCAACUCAAUUUCAAAAGUUCGUAAACUUCUUUUUUUUAAUCUUACAACAAUUCAGUGCAAUAAAAUUGAAAAAUCAAUUCAUCACCAUGGAUCAAUACUUGUUAAAUAACAUUCAUUAUUUAGGAAUAGGACAUGAUUCAAUUCAGGCUCAUAAAAAUACAUCAUGCAUUGAACGUGUGUAUUGUCAGCAAAUGUAUUUAAUUAUCUAUUAUUAAAUUAAAAGAAUGUAUAAUAUUCACAUGUUCAUAUUAUUUCUGGGCUUGUUAUUCUUUAUCUGGGCAACCAAUUACUAAAGAUAGUUGCCCACAAUAGUUUUUAAUCCCUGGCAUAUCAUUGUAACUUUAUUGUUAUAAGCAUUGCAUUAAAGUUGUGAUUGAGGUUAGCUUGUUGUUUAUAGUAUAUUUACUUUUUAGCUCGACUAUUAUAUAUGAGAAAUAUAUAGUGGAGCUAUCCUUCU